GAGCCGAAGGGAAACCGAGUCUUAAUUGGGCGUUAAGUUGCAGGGUAUAGACCCGAAACCCGGUGAUCUAGCCAUGGGCAGGUUGAAGGUUGGGUAACACUAACUGGAGGACCGAACCGACUAAUGUUGAAAAAUUAGCGGAUGACCUGUGGCUGGGGGUGAAAGGCCAAUCAAACCGGGAGAUAGCUGGUUCUCCCCGAAAGCUAUUUAGGUAGCGCCUCGUGAACUCAUCUCCGGGGGUAGAGCACUGUUUCGGCUAGGGGGCCAUCCCGGCUUACCAACCCGAUGCAAACUGCGAAUACCGGAGAAUGUUAUCACGGGAGACACACGGCGGGUGCUAACGUCCGUCGUGAAGAGGGAAACAACCCAGACCGCCAGCUAAGGUCCCAAAGUCAUGGUUAAGUGGGAAACGAUGUGGGAAGGCCCAGACAGCCAGGAUGUUGGCUUAGAAGCAGCCAUCAUUUAAAGAAAGCGUAAUAGCUCACUGGUCGAGUCGGCCUGCGCGGAAGAUGUAACGGGGCUAAACCAUGCACCGAAGCUGCGGCAGCGACACUUUAGUGUUGUUGGGUAGGGGAGCGUUCUGUAAGCCGUUGAAGGUGUCCUGUGAGGGGUGCUGGAGGUAUCAGAAGUGCGAAUGCUGACAUAAGUAACGAUAAAGCGGGUGAAAAGCCCGCUCGCCGGAAGACCAAGGGUUCCUGUCCAACGUUAAUCGGGGCAGAGUGAGUCGACCCCUAAGGCGAGGCCGAAAGGCGUAGUCGAUGGGAAACGGGUUAAUAUUCCCGUACUUGGUGUUACUGCGAAGGGGGGACGGAGAAGGCUAUGUUGGCCGGGCGACGGUAGUCCCGGUUUAAGCGUGUAGGUGUGUGUUCCAGGUAAAUCCGGUUCACUUUAACACUGAGGCGUGAUGACGAGGCACCACGGUGCUGAAGCAACAAAUGCCCUGCUUCCAGGAAAAGCCUCUAAGCAUCAGGUAACAUCAAAUCGUACCCCAAACCGACACAGGUGGUCAGGUAGAGAAUACCAAGGCGCUUGAGAGAACUCGGGUGAAGGAACUAGGCAAAAUGGUGCCGUAACUUCGGGAGAAGGCACGCUGACACGUAGGUGAAGUGAUUUACUCAUGGAGCUGAAGUCAGUCGAAGAUACCAGCUGGCUGCAACUGUUUAUUAAAAACACAGCACUGUGCAAACACGAAAGUGGACGUAUACGGUGUGACGCCUGCCCGGUGCCGGAAGGUUAAUUGAUGGGGUCAGCGCAAGCGAAGCUCCUGAUCGAAGCCCCGGUAAACGGCGGCCGUAACUAUAACGGUCCUAAGGUAGCGAAAUUCCUUGUCGGGUAAGUUCCGACCUGCACGAAUGGCGUAAUGAUGGCCAGGCUGUCUCCACCCGAGACUCAGUGAAAUUGAACUCGCUGUGAAGAUGCAGUGUACCCGCGGCAAGACGGAAAGACCCCGUGAACCUUUACUAUAGCUUGACACUGAACAUUGAGCCUUGAUGUGUAGGAUAGGUGGGAGGCUUUGAAGCGUGGACGCCAGUCUGCGUGGAGCCGACCUUGAAAUACCACCCUUUAAUGUUUGAUGUUCUAACGUGGACCCGUAAUCCGGGUUGCGGACAGUGUCUGGUGGGUAGUUUGACUGGGGCGGUCUCCUCCUAAAGAGUAACGGAGGAGCACGAAGGUUGGCUAAUCCUGGUCGGACAUCAGGAGGUUAGUGCAAUGGCAUAAGCCAGCUUGACUGCGAGCGUGACGGCGCGAGCAGGUGCGAAAGCAGGUCAUAGUGAUCCGGUGGUUCUGAAUGGAAGGGCCAUCGCUCAACGGAUAAAAGGUACUCCGGGGAUAACAGGCUGAUACCGCCCAAGAGUUCAUAUCGACGGCGGUGUUUGGCACCUCGAUGUCGGCUCAUCACAUCCUGGGGCUGAAGUAGGUCCCAAGGGUAUGGCUGUUCGCCAUUUAAAGUGGUACGCGAGCUGGGUUUAGAACGUCGUGAGACAGUUCGGUCCCUAUCUGCCGUGGGCGCUGGAGAAUUGAGGGGGGCUGCUCCUAGUACGAGAGGACCGGAGUGGACGCAUCACUGGUGUUCGGGUUGUCAUGCCAAUGGCACUGCCCGGUAGCUAAAUGCGGAAAAGAUAAGUGCUGAAAGCAUCUAAGCACGAAACUUGCCCCGAGAUGAGUU
rnacentral:rRNA from 1 species